AGUGAACGCUGGCGGUAGGCCUAACACAUGCAAGUCGAACGGCAGCACAGUAAGAGCUUGCUCUUACGGGUGGCGAGUGGCGGACGGGUGAGGAAUACAUCGGAAUCUACUUUUUCGUGGGGGAUAACGUAGGGAAACUUACGCUAAUACCGCAUACGACCUACGGGUGAAAGCAGGGGAUCUUCGGACCUUGCGCGAUUGAAUGAGCCGAUGUCGGAUUAGCUAGUUGGCGGGGUAAAGGCCCACCAAGGCGACGAUCCGUAGCUGGUCUGAGAGGAUGAUACGCCACACUGGAACUGAGACACGGUCCAGACUCCUGCGGGAGGCAGCAGUGGGGAAUAUUGGACAAUGGGCGCAAGCCUGAUCCAGCCAUACCGCGUGGGUGAAGAAGGCCUUCGGGUUGUAAAGCCCUUUUGUUGGGAAAGAAAAGCAGCAGGUUAAUACCCCGCUGUUCUGACGGUACCCAAAGAAUAAGCACCGGCUAACUUCGUG
rnacentral:rRNA from 1 species